CAGCAAAGCAACACGAUUUGAAGAAAAGGCUUCAGGGAAUUGACAAUCUACAGAACGCUGGACCUCUGGUUGUAGGAAGUGUCUCCUCUUCAGAGGAUGCUGCAAAUGCUGGUAUGCUGGAAAAUUUGAAGUAACAAGAUUUUUUUUUCCCCUGUGUUUACCACUAUUUCCUGGCACAUGUUGAGAGCUGAGCCUCAGGGCUUAGGCAUGUGAUUCCAGCUACCCGGGAUGCUGAGGCAGGAGGAUGCACAACUCAAAACCAGCCUGGGAAACUUCUGAGACUCUGCUCCAAAAUAAAAGAGUGAAGACACAACACUGAUUGUCAAGAAUCAACCCUAUGGCUGGAGAGAUUGCCCAGCUGUUAAAGGCUCACAACCGAAAAUUAGAAUCAGCCCCAGCAGU